CCUACGGGAGGCAGCAGUGGGGAAUAUUGGGCAAUGGGCGCAAGCCUGACCCAGCAACGCCGCGUGAAGGAAGAAGGCUUUCGGGUUGUAAACUUCUUUUCUCAGGGACGAGGACCGUGACGGUCCCGGAGGACUAAGCAACGGCUACCUCCGUGCCAGCAGCCGCGGUAUUACGUAGGGGGCAAGCUUUAUCCGGAUUUAUUGGGUGUAAAGGGCGUGUAGGCGGGAGCGCAAGUCAGAUGUGAAAACUCAGGGCUCAACCCUGAGCCUGCAUUUGAAACUGUGUUUCUUGAGUGCUGGAGAGGCAAUCGGAAUUCCGUGUGUAGCGGUGAAAUGCGUAGAUAUACGGAGGAACACCAGUGGCGAAGGCGGAUUGCUGGACAGUAACUGACGCUGAGGCGCGAAAGCGUGGGGAGCAAACAGGAUUAGAUACCCUUGUAGUC
rnacentral:rRNA from 1 species